AUUGAACGCUGGCGGCAUGCCUUACACAUGCAAGUCGAACGGCAGCACGGGGGCAACCCUGGUGGCGAGUGGCGAACGGGUGAGUAAUACAUCGGAACGUGUCCUGUAGUGGGGGAUAGCCCGGCGAAAGCCGGAUUAAUACCGCAUACGCUCUGCGGAGGAAAGCGGGGGAUCCUUCGGGACCUCGCGCUACAGGGGCGGCCGAUGGCAGAUUAGCUAGUUGGUGGGGUAAAGGCCUACCAAGGCGACGAUCUGUAGCUGGUCUGAGAGGACGACCAGCCACACUGGGACUGAGACACGGCCCAGACUCCUACGGGAGGCAGC
rnacentral:rRNA from 1 species